GAUGAAGAACGUAGUGAAAUGCGAUAAGUAAUGUGAAUUGCAGAAUUCAGUGAAUCAUCGAAUCUUUGAACGCACAUUGCGGCCGCCAGUAUUCUGGCGGGCAUGCCUGUCUGAGCGUCAUUUCAACCCUCAUGCCCCUAGGGCGUGGUGUUGGGGAUCGGCCAAAGCCCGCGAGGGACGGCCGGCCCCUAAAUCUAGUGGCGGACCCGUCGUGGCCUCCUCUGCGAAGUAGUGAUAUUCCGCAUCGGAGAGCGACGAGCCCCUGCCGUUAAACCCCCAACUUUCCAAGGUUGACCUCAGAUCAGGUAGGAAUACCCGCUGAACUUAAGCAUAUCAAUAAGCGGAGGA
rnacentral:misc_RNA from 1 species